rnacentral:tRNA from 1 species
CCUUCGGUAGCUCAGUUGGUAGAGCGGUGGACUGUAGUGUUUAAUUUGAUCAUAGAUAUCCAUAGGUCGCUGGUUCAAAUCCGGCCCGAAGGA